rnacentral:rRNA from 1 species
UACGUAGGGUGCUAGCGUUGUUCGGAAUCAUUGGGCGUAAAGCGCGUGUAGGUGGUUAGGUAAGUCAGGUGUGAAAUCCCUGGGCUCAACCGAGGAAGUGCACUUGAAACUACCUAGCUAGAGGACAGUAGAGGAAGGUGGAAUUCCUAGUGUAGAGGUGAAAUUCGUAGAUAUUAGGAGGAAUACCGGUGGCGAAGGCGGCCUUCUGGGCUGCUCCUGACACUGAGACGCGAAAGCGUGGGUAGCAAACAGG